rnacentral:rRNA from 1 species
CUACGGGGUGCUCCAGUGGGGAAUAUUGCACAAUGGGGGAAACCCUGAUGCAGCAACGCCGCGUGGAGGAUGACACAUUUCGGUGCGUAAACUCCUUUUAUAUAAGAAGAUAAUGACGGUAUUAUAUGAAUAAGCUCCGGCUAACUCCGUGCCAGCAGCCGCGGUAAUACGGGGGGAGCAAGCGUUACUCGGAAUCACUGGGCGUAAAGAGCAUGUAGGCGGGUAAAAAAGUUGGAAGUGAAAUCCACUGGCUUAACCAGUGAACUGCUUCCAAAACUCUUUACCUAGAAUAUGGGAGAGGUAGAUGGAAUUUCUGGUGUAGGGGUAAAAUCCGUAGAGAUCAGAAGGAAUACCGAUUGCGAAGGCGAUCUACUGGAACAUUAUUGACGCUGAGAUGCGAAAGCGUGGGGAGCAAACAGGAUUAGAUACCCGCGUAGUC